rnacentral:rRNA from 1 species
UACGGGAGGCAGCAGUGGGGAAUAUUGCACAAUGGGCGAAAGCCUGAUGCAGCUAUGCCGCGUGUAUGAAGAAGGCCUUAGGGUUGUAAAGUACUUUCAGCAGGGAGGAAAGAAAUAAAACUAAUAAUUUUAUUUUGUGACGUUACCUGAAGAAGAAGCACCGGCUAACUCCGUGCCAGCAGCCGCGGUAAUACGGAGGGUGCAAGCGUUAAUCAGAAUUACUGGGCGUAAAGAGCGCGUAGGUGGUUUUUUUAAAGUCAGAUGUGAAAUCCCUAGGCUUAACCUAGGAACUGCAUUUUGAAACUGAAAAACUAGAGUAUCGUAGAGGGAGGUAGAAUUCUAGGUGUAGCGGUGAAAUGCGUAGAUAUCUGGAGGAAUACCUGUGGCGAAAGCGGCCUCCUAAACGAAUACUGACACUGAGGUGCGAAAGCGUGGGGAGCAAACAGGGAUUAGAUACC